GGGGUUAUGGCACAGUUGGUUAGCGCGCUUCCUUGACAUGGAAGAGGUCACAGGUUCGAGUCCUGUUAACCCCACCA
rnacentral:tRNA from 1 species